AAUUUUUUUUAAAGAUUUUUAAUAAGUUCUAAAGUUAAUCAAUAAUGCUUUAAAUAAUAAUAAGAAUAUAAAGGGAAAAACAAGUUAAGAGUUGUCUCAUUGCCACUCAUACCACAUCUUCCUAUGUCUAAGUUCGUAAAUGUCAUGAUUGCUAGUCUCUUUUUCAACAAUUAUAUAUCACAUGAAAAAUAAACAGUAUAAAUAAAUUAUACUCCUAGUUAAUAUGAUUUACAAGCAUUGCAGGAAACAUAAUUAAGAUAAUGUUACUUCUUCUGCGUUCGAGACGUUUAGCCCUAUGGUCUCCAAAAACGAUUGGAUUGUAUAUAUAAUAUAUGUAACAAUACAGGCAGAAAACAAGCUGAUGAACGAAUUUUAUUCAUUCCAAUAACUUAAACUGUAUUAGUUUAAACAAUAAUGCCAACAGAUAAAUGCUGUUUUUAUUCUAACAAUAAACGAGG
rnacentral:lncRNA from 1 species